ensembl:lncRNA
UUUUCUGUUUCCCAGGCUGGAAUGCAGUGGUGUAGUCUCAGCUGAUUGCAACCUCCACAUCCCAGGUUCAAGUGAUCCUCUUGCCUCAGUCUCCUGAGUAGGCAAAGAAACCCGUUUUAUGGUGUGAAAGAGGUGUGUUCAUGGACGCAAGGCAAUUGCAUACUGAACACCACGUCACUCAUAAAGGUGAGGCCCGAGAACAUUAAUAGUGAAGCUAAGCAUAAGCUGGGAAUUGAUAUGCAUGGGGUUGCAGUGUUGUCCUUAAGACGCAGAAUGUAUGUUGACCCUAUGGCCAUUUAACCAUUAAGAUAGACUGUAUGAGUCCAAGAACCAAGGAGUAAAAAGUGGUAUGCUAUUAUUUUCAUUACUCUGAGAAACCCAGUGCUUAAGCUUCCAGGAACUAGCCAGGUACUAGCCCUGCAAAUAGGUAUUUCUUGGGAAUAUGAAAGAUUUGAUCAGUCUCAUCCACUGAGGUAACCUUUCUUUGCUCAGUUAUUUAGAAAUAUGGAUGUAAAUACCAGGUGAACUCCAAAAAAAUAAAAUAAAACCUAGAAAAUGGGGAAGUGUUCACUUUUAUGUGAUAGAACUAAGGAAAUGCAAAGUGUUCGGCACAGUGCUCCUUGUUUAAGUAAUAAGUCUUAUAAAUAACAAAGCUGGAAGGUAUUAAGUUUUAACCAUACGUAUAUACAGUUAUGUAUUUCUCUAAUAUAGA